rnacentral:rRNA from 1 species
GACGAACCGUCCAAACGUUAUUCGGAAUCACUGGGCUUACAGAGUUCGUAGGCGGUCUGGAAAGUUGGGUGUGAAAUCCCUCGGCUCAACCGAGGAACUGCGCUCAAAACUACCCGACUCGAGGGAGAUAGAGGAAAGCGGAACUGAUGGUGGAGCGGUGAGAUGCGUUGAUAUCAUCAGGAACACCGGUGGCGAAGGCGGCUUUCUGGGUCUUACCUGACGCUGAGGAACGAAAGCUAGGGGAGCGAACAGG